GUAAGCACCCCUAGCUCAAUUGGAUAGAGCAUCGGUCUACGGAACCGAAGGUUACUGGUUCGAGUCCAG
rnacentral:tRNA from 1 species